AACGGCUGUUGCUUCUCUAAAUGGUCUAAAAGUGCGCGGGAAAAUGUAAACGCUAGGGCCUAGGCCAGUUUUUCAAGAGCGCGAAUUUCUACGUGAAAUUUCUCGACUUUCGUAUACUGUUCAAGCGAAAAAUGAAACCAUUGAAGCGGAAAAAUGGUAAGCAUUUUCCUCAUAAGAAAUUGGCCGAGAUAAGCAUGUGAAAAACAAUAGUUUUCAAAACAAUUGUUGAUAUGGGAUAAAGUUAUUGAAGAAAUAAAAUGUCUAUAGUGUAUGUGGGCUACCUGUGGUGUCUAGUGAUGUCAUGAGUUAGCCAGAGAAGGGUUGAAACGGGUCACGUGAAUCGGCUUGGCCAAUCAGAACGCGCCAAAAAAAUCAUUUUUGUUUAAAAGUUUUUGGGUGAAGAGCUCCCGGACAACUUCACUUUGGAGCAGAUUUGUGGUUUAGUCGGGGUAGAAAUGUAAAACCUACUGAGUUGCAGAACCCAUUCAUUGUAGAACCCACUACAUGCUUGUUGGAGGGGUGUCAGCUGACCCACAAGGCAAAAUGGGGACCUGACUAACUGACAGAUUGACCUAUUGAUUGACCCAUUUAUUGACUAACCGAUUGACCGAUUGAUUUUAACCUAUGCACUAAUUGAUGCAAAGCAUAAGAAUAGUAUAGGGUACAGUAUCAGAAUAUUAUCACAACAAAGUCUUGAUCUAAUCAGAAUAUCUAUUUUUGUUACAACAUUAAGUAAUUUAUUAUAUAUAUUGUAUAACACAUAAGACAUUGUAUUUUAGGGGAUUAUUUAUUGUUGGAAAUCUCAUUUCUUAUUGUUUGGAAUCAUAUUUCUUAUAUAAAGUAGCAACAAUCUAUCAAAAACAAAGAUAUGAAAUUUUUAAA